rnacentral:rRNA from 1 species
UACGUAGGGUGCGAGCGUUGUCCGGAAUUAUUGGGCGUAAAGAGCUCGUAGGCGGUUUGUCGCGUCUGCCGUGAAAGUCCGGGGCUCAACUCCGGAUCUGCGGUGGGUACGGGCAGACUAGAGUGAUGUAGGGGAGACUGGAAUUCCUGGUGUAGAGGUGAAAUUCGUAGAUAUCAGGAGGAACACCGGUGGCGAAAGCGGCUUCUGGCCCGACACUGACGCUCAUGUACGAAAGCGUGGGGAGCAAACAGG